GGGGGUGUCCUGGUUUCGACGGGGGUCGCGAAAUCGACUGGUGCAUGCCGAGGGGGCAGCUUUCCUCGUUAAUCCAGCGGCAAAACUCUAGUUGCCAA
rnacentral:tmRNA from 1 species